UUAAGCGACUAAGCGUACACGGUGGAUGCCCUGGCAGUCAGAGGCGAUGAAGGACGUGCUAAUCUGCGAAAAGCGCCGGCGAGGUGAUAUGAACCCUUGACCCGGCGAUGUCCGAAUGGGGAAACCCAGUGCAAUCCGUUGCACUAUCGUUAACUGAAUACAUAGGUUAACGAGGCGAACCGGGGGAACUGAAACAUCUAAGUACCCCGAGGAAAAGAAAUCAACCGAGAUUCCCCCAGUAGCGGCGAGCGAACGGGGAGCAGCCCGGAGUCUGAAUCAGCUUGUGUGUUAGUGGAACGGUCUGGAAAGUCCGACGGUACAGGGUGAUAGUCCCGUACACGAAAAUGCACAUGCUGUGAACUCGAAGAGUAGGGCGGGACACGUGGUAUCCUGUCUGAAUAUGGGGGGACCAUCCUCCAAGGCUAAAUACUCCUGACUGACCGAUAGUGAACCAGUACCGUGAGGGAAAGGCGAAAAGAACCCCGGCGAGGGGAGUGAAAAAGAACCUGAAACCGUGUACGUACAAGCAGUGGGAGCCUCUUUAUGGGGUGACUGCGUACCUUUUGUAUAAUGGGUCAGCGACUUAUAUUCUGUAGCAAGGUUAACCGUAUAGGGGAGCCGAAGGGAAACCGAGUCUUAACUGGGCGUUAAGUUGCAGGGUAUAGACCCGAAACCCGGUGAUCUAGCCAUGGGCAGGUUGAAGGUUGGGUAACACUAACUGGAGGACCGAACCGACUAAUGUUGAAAAAUUAGCGGAUGACCUGUGGCUGGGGGUGAAAGGCCAAUCAAACCGGGAGAUAGCUGGUUCUCCCCGAAAGCUAUUUAGGUAGCGCCUCGUGAACUCAUCUUCGGGGGUAGAGCACUGUUUCGGCUAGGGGGCCAUCCCGGCUUACCAACCCGAUGCAAACUACGAAUACCGAAGAAUGUUAUCACGGGAGACACACGGCGGGUGCUAACGUCCGUCGUGAAGAGGGAAACAACCCAGACCGCCAGCUAAGGUCCCAAAGUCAUGGUUAAGUGGGAAACGAUGUGGGAAGGCACAGACAGCCAGGAUGUUGGCUUAGAAGCAGCCAUCAUUUAAAGAAAGCGUAAUAGCUCACUGGUCGAGUCGGCCUGCGCGGAAGAUGUAACGGGGCUAAACCAUGCACCGAAGCUGCGGCAGCGACACUUAUGUGUUGUUGGGUAGGGGAGCGUUCUGUAAGCCGUUGAAGGUGUGCUGUGAGGCAUGCUGGAGGUAUCAGAAGUGCGAAUGCUGACAUAAGUAACGAUAAAGCGGGUGAAAAGCCCGCUCGCCGGAAGACCAAGGGUUCCUGUCCAACGUUAAUCGGGGCAGGGUGAGUCGACCCCUAAGGCGAGGCCGAAAGGCGUAGUCGAUGGGAAACAGGUUAAUAUUCCUGUACUUGGUGUUACUGCGAAGGGGGGACGGAGAAGGCUAUGUCAGCCGGGCGACGGUUGUCCCGGUUUAAGCAUGUAGGCGGAGGUUCCAGGUAAAUCCGGUACCUUGUUAACGCUGAGGUGUGAUGACGAGGCACUACGGUGCUGAAGUGAUAAAUGCCCUGCUUCCAGGAAAAGCCUCUAAGCAUCAGGUAACACGAAAUCGUACCCCAAACCGACACAGGUGGUCAGGUAGAGAAUACCAAGGCGCUUGAGAGAACUCGGGUGAAGGAACUAGGCAAAAUGGUGCCGUAACUUCGGGAGAAGGCACGCUGAUGUGUAGGUGAAGCCCCUGCGGGUGGAGCUGAAAUCAGUCGAAGAUACCAGCUGGCUGCAACUGUUUAUUAAAAACACAGCACUGUGCAAACACGAAAGUGGACGUAUACGGUGUGACGCCUGCCCGGUGCCGGAAGGUUAAUUGAUGGGGUUAGCGGCAACGCGAAGCUCUUGAUCGAAGCCCCGGUAAACGGCGGCCGUAACUAUAACGGUCCUAAGGUAGCGAAAUUCCUUGUCGGGUAAGUUCCGACCUGCACGAAUGGCGUAAUGAUGGCCAGGCUGUCUCCACCCGAGACUCAGUGAAAUUGAACUCGCUGUGAAGAUGCAGUGUACCCGCGGCAAGACGGAAAGACCCCGUGAACCUUUACUAUAGCUUGACACUGAACACUGGUCCUUGAUGUGUAGGAUAGGUGGGAGGCUUUGAAGCGUGGACGCCAGUCUGCGUGGAGCCAACCUUGAAAUACCACCCUUUAAUGGCUGGUGUUCUAACGUAGACCCGUAAUCCGGGUUGCGGACAGUGUCUGGUGGGUAGUUUGACUGGGGCGGUCUCCUCCCAAAGAGUAACGGAGGAGCACGAAGGUUGGCUAAUCCUGGUCGGACAUCAGGAGGUUAGUGCAAUGGCAUAAGCCAGCUUGACUGCGAGCGUGACGGCGCGAGCAGGGGCGAAAGCAGGUCAUAGUGAUCCGGUGGUUCUGAAUGGAAGGGCCAUCGCUCAACGGAUAAAAGGUACUCCGGGGAUAACAGGCUGAUACCGCCCAAGAGUUCAUAUCGACGGCGGUGUUUGGCACCUCGAUGUCGGCUCAUCACAUCCUGGGGCUGAAGUAGGUCCCAAGGGUAUGGCUGUUCGCCAUUUAAAGUGGUACGCGAGCUGGGUUUAGAACGUCGUGAGACAGUUCGGUCCCUAUCUGCCGUGGGCGCUGGAGAAUUGAGGGGGGCUGCUCCUAGUACGAGAGGACCGGAGUGGACGCAUCACUGGUGUUCGGGUUGUCAUGCCAAUGGCACUGCCCGGUAGCUAAAUGCGGAAGAGAUAAGUGCUGAAAGCAUCUAAGCACGAAACUUGCCCCGAGAUGAGUUCUCCCUGAGACUUUAAGUCUCCUGAAGGAACGUUGAAGACGACGACGUUGAUAGGUCGGGUGUGUAAGCGCAGCGAUGCGUUGAGCUAACCGAUACUAAUGAACCGUGAGGCUUAACCUU
rnacentral:rRNA from 1 species